GCGCACCAGUCGCGAAUACUUUACAAUGUGCGAAAGCACGAUAAGGGAACUCUGAGUGCCUCCUAAGGAGGCUGUUCAGGUGUCCAAAAAGCACCUGAAGGAAGGGCUGGGUAAGACCGGUGCCAGCCGCCGCGGUAACACCGGCAGCCCAAGUGGUAGCCACGUUUAUUGGGUCUAAAGCGUCCGUAGCCGGCUGGGUAAGUUCCUUGGGAAAUUUGGCUGCUUAACAGUCAAGCUUUCAGGGAAUACUGCCCGGCUUGGGACCGGGAGAGGUCAGAGGUACUCCAGGGGUAGGGGUGAAAUCCAUUAAUCCUUGGGGGACCACCGGUAGCGAAAGCGUCUGACCAGACCGGGUCCGACGGUGAGGGACGAAGGCUAGGGGCGCGAACCGGAUUAGAUACCCCUGUAGU
rnacentral:rRNA from 1 species